CAGACCUCCUCGCCGGGAAAGCAGUGAUCUGUGAGGCUGAGUCUGGGAAUCCCCCUCUCCAGAAGAAAUGAGAUGCAGCCGCUCUCCAGGUGCUUAGGAGGAGCUGUGGGGUCUCAGCGGAGGAACUUCACCAAAGACAGUCAAUGCAGAGCCGAUACGUCCUGGCUAAACUGGAUCUCCGUGGCAGGCGGCCCCGCCUGGCCUGGCUUUCGGGGAGACAUUUCCUGCUGCAUCCUGCAGAGAACACCCUGCGGUCCUCAGGUUCCUGACUUCCUUAGUCUUCUCGGGGCCUAAGGUUUCCUGAGUUCAAGUUCAAGUUCAUAUCUGAAGGGGUCUGACAGGCGCCAGGCCAGAAUCCUGGAUAACUGGCACCCCAAUGACCACUCGGCUGUCUCUGGAAACUUCUCCAUGGGUCUGGACCCCCU
rnacentral:lncRNA from 1 species